AAUGAACGUUGGCGGCAUGGAUUAGGCAUGCAAGUCGAGCGAGAAGAGUUUUGAAGCUUGCUUUAGAACUCGGACAGCGGCGAAAGGGAGAGUAACGCGUAGUUAUGUGCCCUAGGGUCCGGAAUAGCCACGGGAAACUGGGGGUAAUGCCGGAUAAUAUCCCCGGAUCAAAGGUGUGAUUCCGCCCUAGGAGCAGACUGCGUCCUACUAGCUAGUUGGUGGGGUAAUGGCCUACCAAGGCAACGAUGGGUAGCGGGUGUGAGAGCAUGACCCGUCUCACUGGGACUGAGACACUGCCCAGACACCUACGGGUGGCUGCAGUCGAGAAUCUUCGGCAAUGGGCGAAAGCCUGCCCGAGCGAUGCCGCGUGCGGGAUGAAGGCCCUCGGGUUGUAAACCGCUGUCGUAGGGGAGGAAGGUUCCGUGAAGAGCGGAAUUUGACCUAUCCUAGGAGGAAGUACGGGCUAAGUUCGUGCCAGCCGGCGCAGUAA
rnacentral:rRNA from 1 species